ACGGCCACAUCAUAUUGAAAAACCAGUUCCUGUAUGAUCACCAAAGUUAAGCAACAUUGAGCCUGGUUAAUACCUAGAUGGGUGACCACUUGGGAAUAAAAGGUGCUGUAAG
rnacentral:rRNA from 1 species